rnacentral:rRNA from 1 species
GACGAACGCUGGCGGCGUGCUUAACACAUGCAAGUCGAACGGAAAGGCCCUGCUUUUGUGGGGUGCUCGAGUGGCGAACGGGUGAGUAACACGUGAGUAACCUGCCCUUGACUUUGGGAUAACUUCAGGAAACUGGGGCUAAUACCGGAUAGGAGCUCCUGCUGCAUGGUGGGGGUUGGAAAGUUUCGGCGGUUGGGGUUGGACUUGCGGCUUAUCAGCUUGUUGGUGGGGUAGUGGCUUACCAAGGCUUUGACGGGUAGCCGGCCUGAGAGGGUGACCGGCCACAUUGGGACUGAGAUACGGCCCAGACUCCGACGGGAGGCAGCAGUGGGGAAUAUUGCACGAUGGGCGGAAGCCUGAUGCAGCAACGCCGCGUGCGGGAUGACGGCCUUCGGGUUGUAGACCGCUUUCGCCUGUGACGAAGCGUGAGUGACGGUAAUGGGUAAAGAAGCACCGGCUAACUACGUG